GCCUUCGUGGUGUAGUGGUCAGCACUCUCGACGUGGAAACUAGAGGUCCGUGGUUCGAUUUCCGGCGAAGGCG
rnacentral:tRNA from 1 species